AAAAGGUGGGAAAAAGUGGGGAAAUGUCGGAAAAUAAGGGGGAAAAUGUGGGGAAAAAAUUCAGAUUUUAGCAAUUAAAAGGUAAAGAAAAAAAAGAAAAAUUUUGGUCUUCCAAAAAAUAGCCUUCAAAGACCGUCUUCUCCGGCUAAUGGACUGCCGGAACGAGCAGCAACCACCCACCACAAACGACCCUGCUUCUCCAUUUUUUUAUUUUUUUUUCAGACCCCAACGAUCCUCUUCUCUUCGCCGGAACGAACCGCCUUGCUAGACCUCAAACUCUGGCGGGACUCAAAUUCGAAACAACCAGCAAAACGCCGACCUCCGUAGCUCCGGCAAACAAGUAUACGGAGCUGCUUCCCAUUGAAGCUAUUCGAACGGAGUUUGAAUUAUAAUUUUAUUUAUUAUUUUGUAUAUAUUGAUGUUAGACAAAUUUUAGGCCGUGUCUUAUAUUAUUGGGUGUAUACACAAUAUUUUUGCAGGCUCUCAUUAAAAAAUAGGGCAGGUUUGGGCCAAAGCCCAGAUUAAUCCAUAGCAAUUGUUAGGCUCAAAAUUGGCCCAGGAGGAGAGACUUCUGAUUUUGGGCCCAAUAGGCCCAUUUUAUGGUAUGUUUGAUAAUCUGAAAAUUUUACUAUUAUUGAAUAUUUGACAUAUUUUUUGUCUACUAA